CCUACGGAUGGCAGCAGUGGGGAAUAUUGGACAAUGGGCGAAAGCCUGAUCCAGCCAUGCCGCGUGUGUGAAGAAGGCCUUCGGGUUGUAAAGCACUUUCAGUGGGGAAGAAAGCCUUGGGGCUAAUACCCUCGAGGAAGGACAUCACCCACAGAAGAAGCACCGGCUAACUCCGUGCCAGCAGCCGCGGUAAUACGGAGGGUGCGAGCGUUAAUCGGAAUUACUGGGCGUAAAGCGCGCGUAGGCGGUCUGAUAAGCCGGUUGUGAAAGCCCCGGGCUCAACCUGGGAACGGCAUCCGGAACUGUCAGGCUAGAGUGCAGGAGAGGAAGGUAGAAUUCCCGGUGUAGCGGUGAAAUGCGUAGAGAUCGGGAGGAAUACCAGUGGCGAAGGCGGCCUUCUGGACUGACACUGACGCUGAGGUGCGAAAGCGUGGGUAGCAAACAGGAUUAGAUACCCCGGUAGUC
rnacentral:rRNA from 1 species